rnacentral:rRNA from 1 species
AAACUUAAAGGAAUUGACGGGGGCCCGCACAAGCGGUGGAGCAUGUGGUUUAAUUCGACGCAACGCGAAGAACCUUACCUGGGCUCGAACGGCUUAAGACCGCCGUAGAAAUACGGUCUUUCCGCAAGGAACUUGAGUCGAGGUGCUGCAUGGCUGUCGUCAGCUCGUGUCGUGAGAUGUUGGGUUAAGUCCCGCAACGAGCGCAACCCUUGCCCUGUUUUGCCAUCAUUAAGUUGGGAACUAUCAGGGGACCGCCAGCGAUAAGUUGGAGGAAGGUGGGGAUGACGUCAAGUCAUCAUGGCCUUUAUGUCCAGGGCUACACACGUGCUACAAUGGACGGUACAAUGCGCUGCCAACCCGCGAGGGGAGCAAAUCGCAAAAAACCGUUCUCAGUUCGGAUUGCAGGCUGCAACUCGCCUGCAUGAAGCUGGAAUCGCUAGUAAUGGCAUAUCAGAAUGAUGCCGUGAAUACGUUCCCGGGCCUUGUACACACCGCCCGUCACAUCACGAAAGUGGAUUGUACUAGAAGUCUGCAGGCUAACCCGCAAGGGAGGCAGCGGCCCAAGGUAUGAUUCAUGAUUGGGGUGAAGUCGUAACAAGGUAGCCGUAGGAGAACCUGCGGCUGGAUCACCUCCUUUAUG